rnacentral:rRNA from 1 species
CCUACGGGUGGCAGCAGUGGGGAAUAUUGCACAAUGGGCGAAAGCCUGAUGCAGCAACGCCGCGUGAGCGAUGAAGGCCUUCGGGUCGUAAAGCUCUGUCCUCAAGGAAGAUAAUGACGGUACUUUAGGAUGAAACCCCGGCUAACUACGUUCCAGCAGCCGCGGUAAUACGUAGGGGGCUAGCGUUAUCCGGAAUUACUGGGCGAAAAGGGUGCGUAGGUGGUUUCUUAAGUCGGAGGUGAAAGGCUACGGCGCAACCGGAGUAAGCCUUUGAAACUGGGGAACUUGAGUGCAGGAGAGGAGAGUGGAAUUCCUAGUGUAGCGGUGAAAUGCGUAGAUAUUAGGAGGAACACCAGUUGCGAAGGCGGCUCGCUGGACUGUAACUGACACUGAGGCACGAAAGCGUGGGGAGCAAACAGGAUUAGAUACCCGAGUAGUC